CAUGGCUCAGGAUGAACGUUGGCGGCGUGCCUAACACAUGCAAGUCGAACGGGAAGCCGGCUUCGGUCGGUGGAGAGUGGCGAACGGGUGAGUAACGCGUAACUGAUCUGCCCCAAUGACCGGGAUAACGAUUGGAAACAGUCGCUAAUACGGGAUAAUCUCUUGGUGGUUAGAGAGCCAAGAGGAAAGGCGGCCCUACGGGGUUGCGCGUUGGGAUGAGGAUGCGGUCCAUCAGCUGGUUGGUGAGGUAAAGGCUCACCAAGGCGAAGACGGAUAGGGGACCUGAGAGGGUGGCCCCCCACACUGGGACUGAGACACGGCCCAGACUCCUGCGGGAGGCAGCAGUGAGGGAUAUUGCACAAUGGGCGGAAGCCUGAUGCAGCGACGCCGCGUGGGUGAAGAAGGUUUUCGGAUCGUAAAGCCCUUUUCUAUGUGACGAGGGAGGACGGUAGCAUAGGAAUAAGUGUCGGCUAACUACGUGCCAGCAGCCGCGGUAAAACGUAGGACACGAACGUUAUCCGGAGUUACUGGGCGUAAAGCGCGCGCAGGCGGUUGUGUAAGUCUUCUAUGAAAGGCGCUGGCUAAACUGGCGGAGGGUAGGAGAAACUGUACAACUAGAGAGAAAUAGAGGGAAGUAGAAUUCCGGGUGUAGUGGUGAAAUGCGUAGAUAUCCGGAGGAAUAUCAGAGGCGAAGGCGGCUUCCUGGAUUUUCACUGACGCUGAGGCGCGAAAGCGUGGGUAGCGAACGGGAUUAGAAACCCCGUUAGUCCACGCCGUAAACGAUGUACAUUAGGCGUUCGUAUGACUGCGGUUGUAUGAGUGUCGAAGCAAACGCGAUAAAUGUACCGCCUGGGGAGUACGGUCGCAAGGCUAAAACUCAAAGGAAUUGACGGGGGCCCGCACAAGCAGCGGAGCGUGUGGUUUAAUUCGAGGCAACGCGAAGAACCUUACCUGGGUUUGACAGUGUGGUAGUACGGAAGCGAAAGCGGAAGGACCCGCAAGGGAGCCAUGCCAGGUGCUGCAUGGUUGUCGUCAGCUCGUGCCGUGAGGUGUUCGGUUAAGUCCGCAAACGAGCGCAACCCUCGGGGCUAGUUACAAGUGUCUAGCCUGACUGCCCGUGGCAAACGGGAGGAAGGUGGGGAUGACGUCAAAUCAGCAUGGCCUUGAUAUCCAGGGCGACACACACGCUACAAUGGUCGAUACAGUGGGUGGCGAAGGAGCGAUCUGGAGCGAAUCCUACAAAGUCGGUCUCAGUUCGGAUUGCAGGCUGCAACUCGCCUGCAUGAAGUCGGAGUUGCUAGUAACCGCAAAUCAGCACGUUGCGGUGAAUACGUUCCCGGGCCUUGUACACACCGUCCGUCACGUCAUGGGAGUCGGUCGAGCCCGAAGUCGGGAAGCUAA
rnacentral:rRNA from 1 species